GGCGGACGGGUGAGUAAUGCUUGGGAACAUGCCUUGAGGUGGGGGACAACAGUUGGAAACGACUGCUAAUACCGCAUAAUGUCUACGGACCAAAGGGGGCUUCGGCUCUCGCCUUUAGAUUGGCCCAAGUGGGAUUAGCUAGUUGGUGAGGUAAUGGCUCACCAAGGCGACGAUCCCUAGCUGGUUUGAGAGGAUGAUCAGCCACACUGGGACUGAGACACGGCCCAGACUCCUACGGGAGGCAGCAGUGGGGAAUAUUGCACAAUGGGCGCAAGCCUGAUGCAGCCAUGCCGCGUGUGUGAAGAAGGCCUUCGGGUUGUAAAGCACUUUCAGUCAGGAGGAAAGGUUAGUAGUUAAUACCUGCUAGCUGUGACGUUACUGACAGAAGAAGCACCGGCUAACUCCGUGCCAGCAGCCGCGGUAAUACGGAGGGUGCGAGCGUUAAUCGGAAUUACUGGGCGUAAAGCGUACGCAGGCGGUUUGUUAAGCGAGAUGUGAAAGCCCCGGGCUCAACCUGGGAACUGCAUUUCGAACUGGCAAACUAGAGUGUGAUAGAGGGUGGUAGAAUUUCAGGUGUAGCGGUGAAAUGCGUAGAGAUCUGAAGGAAUACCGAUGGCGAAGGCAGCCACCUGGGUCAACACUGACGCUCAUGUACGAAAGCGUGGGGAGCAAACGGGAUUAGAUACCCCGGUAGUCCACGCCGUAAACGAUGUCUACU
rnacentral:rRNA from 1 species